CGGCUGCCGCUGUGGAGAAAUCUUGGUUGCAACUUAAUCAUUGGUCCUGAGUUUUGGAAUGUUCUGGGCCUGGCAUGGAAUGCAGUUUUUACACAACGUAGCCCCUCCCUCUCAGAACUGCUGAGAAGACCCUUGUACCCGA